rnacentral:rRNA from 1 species
UACGUAGGGGGCAAGCGUUAUCCGGAUUUACUGGGUGUAAAGGGAGCGUAGGCGGUUUAGCAAGUCAGAAGUGAAAGCCCGGGGCUCAACUCCGGGACUGCUUUUGAAACUGUUGAACUAGAUUGCAGGAGAGGUAAGUGGAAUUCCUAGUGUAGCGGUGAAAUGCUUAGAGAUCAUACAGAACACCGAUUGCGAAGGCAGCUUACCAAACUAUAUCUGACGUUGAGGCACGAAAGCGUGGGUAGCAAACAGG